CCUACGGGUGGCAGCAGUGGGGAAUAUUGGACAAUGGGGGGAACCCUGAUCCAGCGACGCCGCGUGAGUGAAGAAGUAUUUCGGUAUGUAAAGCUCUAUCAGUAGGGAAGUAAGAAAUGACGGUACCUGAUUAAGAAGCCCCGGCUAACUAUGUGCCAGCAGCCGCGGUAAUACGUAGGGGGCAAGCGUUAUCCGGAUUUACUGGGUGUAAAGGGAGCGUAGACGGGGAUGCAAGUCUGAAGGGAAAGGCGGGGGCCCAACCCCUGGACUGGUUUGGAAACUGUAUGGCUGGAGUGCAGGAGAGGUAAGUGGGAUUCCUAGUGUCACGGUGAAAUGCG
rnacentral:rRNA from 1 species